GAUGAACGCUGGCGGCGUGCCUAAUACAUGCAAGUCGAGCGAACGGACGAGAAGCUUGCUUCUCUGAUGUUAGCGGCGGACGGGUGAGUAACACGUGGAUAACCUACCUAUAAGACUGGGAUAACUUCGGGAAACCGGAGCUAAUACCGGAUAAUAUUUUGAACCGCAUGGUUCAAAAGUGAAAGACGGUCUUGCUGUCACUUAUAGAUGGAUCCGCGCUGCAUUAGCUAGUUGGUAAGGUAACGGCUUACCAAGGCAACGAUGCAUAGCCGACCUGAGAGGGUGAUCGGCCACACUGGAACUGAGACAAGGUCCAGACUCCUACGGGAGGCAGCAGUAGGGAAUCUUCCGCAAUGGGCGAAAGCCUGACGGAGCAACGCCGCGUGAGUGAUGAAGGUCUUCGGAUCGUAAAACUCUGUUAUUAGGGAAGAACAUAUGUGUAAGUAACUGUGCACAUCUUGACGGUACCUAAUCAGAAAGCCACGGAUAACUACGUG
rnacentral:rRNA from 1 species